GCUUGGCUUGUUUGAAUGUGUAGCGGGGUUGUGUUCCUCCGGGAAUGCGGCCCACUACGUUGCUCUGACAGACUUGCCCGGACCGAAAUCCUUCGGGAUGAAGGUCUGAGUCAGAAGCUUGAGCCCCUUUGAGCUCAAGUGGAACGCAGUUGCCUAAAAGGUAUUGAUUGCUUACUGAGACAUCAGCACGGCGGAAACCGCAAAUUGGCCGGAAACGGCCAGCCGGACGAAAUCCUCUGAAAGGAGAACAAAAGCCGGGGUUCCCGUCGGGAUAGCCACGCGCCCAAGACGACGGUCGUGAAAACUAUCUGAAACAGUGGCGAUGCGGCAAAAACUGCAGCGCUGCAAAGUAAACGAAUGGCAAUCUGAGGGUUAAGAGGCGAGACCCGUGGGGCAGGCGAACGCAUCGUCACAAGCGAUGGCUGACCUGCUUCCAAAGGGCUAGGAUGCGAACGGAUUACUUGCGUGUCCAGUCUGGUCCGCAUGUCAGUGGCCGCAACCACUGGCUGAGCGGGCAAAUAAACCUCACCCAAUAAUCCAUGUGCCGCAAGGCCUUGGACGGCCCUGCUAUGAGGCCGACAACUUCGAAAGUCACGGAGAAUAGCGUCGGGGAGCAACCGACCCACACUGUGGGUGCCAAACGGUUGCAACGGGAAAGAGCGCGUGGCGACCGCC
rnacentral:ncRNA from 1 species